CUAAUACCGUAUAACAAUCAAAACCGCAUGGUUUUGAUUUGAAAGGCGCUUUCGGGUGUCGCUGAUGGAUGGACCCGCGGUGCAUUAGCUAGUUGGUGAGGUAACGGCUCACCAAGGCCACGAUGCAUAGCCGACCUGAGAGGGUGAUCGGCCACAUUGGGACUGAGACACGGCCCAAACUCCUACGGGAGGCAGCAGUAGGGAAUCUUCGGCAAUGGACGAAAGUCUGACCGAGCAACGCCGCGUGAGUGAAGAAGGUUUUCGGAUCGUAAAACUCUGUUGUUAGAGAAGAACAAGGAUGAGAGUAACUGUUCAUCCCUUGACGGUAUCUAACCAGAAAGCCACGGCUAACUACGUGCCAGCAGCCGCGGUAAUACGUAGGUGGCAAGCGUUGUCCGGAUUUAUUGGGCGUAAAGCGAGCGCAGGCGGUUUCUUAAGUCUGAUGUGAAAGCCCCCGGCUCAACCGGGGAGGGUCAUUGGAAACUGGGAGACUUGAGUGCAGAAGAGGAGAGUGGAAUUCCAUGUGUAGCGGUGAAAUGCGUAGAUAUAUGGAGGAACACCAGUGGCGAAGGCGGCUCUCUGGUCUGUAACUGACGCUGAGGCUCGAAAGCGUGGGGAGCAAACAGGAUUAGAUACCCUGGUAGUCCACGCCGUAAACGAUGAGUGCUAAGUGUUGGAGGGUUUCCGCCCUUCAGUGCUGCAGCUAACGCAUUAAGCACUCCGCCUGGGGAGUACGACCGCAAGGUUGAAACUCAAAGGAAUUGACGGGGGCCCGCACAAGCGGUGGAGCAUGUGGUUUAAUUCGAAGCAACGCGAAGAACCUUACCAGGUCUUGACAUCCUUUGACCACUCUAGAGAUAGAGCUUCCCCUUCGGGGGCAAAGUGACAGGUGGUGCAUGGUUGUCGUCAGCUCGUGUCGUGAGAUGUUGGGUUAAGUCCCGCAACGAGCGCAACCCUUAUUGUUAGUUGCCAUCAUUCAGUUGGGCACUCUAGCAAGACUGCCGGUGACAAACCGGAGGAAGGUGGGGAUGACGUCAAAUCAUCAUGCCCCUUAUGACCUGGGCUACACACGUGCU
rnacentral:rRNA from 1 species